rnacentral:rRNA from 1 species
CCUACGGGCGGCAGCAGUGAGGAAUAUUGGUCAAUGGGCUUACGCCUGAACCAGCCAAGUCGCGUGAGGGAGGACUGCCCUAUGGGUUGUAAACCUCUUUUGUCAGGGAGCAACGCCGGCUCGUUGUAGUCUGACAGAGAGUACCUGAAGAAAAAGCAGCGGCUAACUGCGUGCGAGCAGCCGCGGUAAUACGGAGGAUGCGAGCGUUAUCCGGAUUUAUUGGGUUUAAAGGGUGCGUAGGCGGGAUGCCAAGUCAGCGGUAAAAUCGCGGGGCUCAACCUCGCCCCGCCGUUGAAACUGGUGUUCUUGAGGGGGCGAGAAGUAUGCGGAAUGCGUGGUGUAGCGGUGAAAUGCAUAGAUAUCACGCAGAACUCCGAUUGCGAAGGCAGCAUACCGGCGCCCGACUGACGCUGAAGCACGAAAGCGUGGGUAUCGAACAGGAUUAGAUACCCCAGUAGUC